GACAGAGGGUGCAAACGUUGUUCGGAAUUACUGGGCGUAAAGCGUGCGCAGGCGGUUUUGUAAGCCAGAUGUGAAAGCCCCGGGCUUAACCUGGGAAUGGCAUUUGGGACUGCAAGGCUUGAGUGCGGCAGAGGAGACUGGAAUUCCUGGUGUAGCAAUGAAAUGCGUAGAUAUCAGGAGGAAUACCGAUGGCGAAGGCAGGUCUCUGGGCUGACACUGACGCUCAUGCACGAAAGCGUGGGGAGCAAACAGG
rnacentral:rRNA from 1 species